CUUUGUCAGUUGUUAUCAAAAGAUGUCCUCUUUCAUUAGACUGUUAAAAGGGAGCCUUCUGUAAGCAAACAUUUUGAGCAAUUUCUUACUUAAAACAGAUGUGCUGUUUUCCAAUCUAGGAAUUAUUAGAGCCAUUAUUAAGAGGCCGAGGCAAGGAUAUCAUGACGAAAAUGAGAGAGCUGAGUGCAAGAAUGCUGACUAAGGACCAUCAAACCAAACUUAGUUAAGCUUGAACAUUUAAAGGAUUUUCUGAAAUAAAAAGUAUUUGGUAAGGAGAUGAUUUCAAAACAUUCCUGAAGGUCUGAAUUAGCUUCUUGCUGGCAUCAGGAGCAGGCAUGCAAUUAGAAGAAAACUGGUAGACAUCCAUUAACAACUGCUCUGCAUACUCCACAUAGCCAAUCUGAAAUCCAGGAGCCACUUAAACUAAUCUCAAGACGAUGCACUUGUUGUAAAACUGGCAUGCACACGUAACCCUCGCACAGCCUGCAUCACACCACAACCAGAACUCUGAAAUCAGUAUCAGAUUUAUUAAUAAGUUACAACAUUCAGAAGCCAAACAUAUGGCUUCUGCUCGUUAGACACGUAUAUCUAGUCAUUCCAAAGUAUCUGAUGUUGUUGUCUUCAGCAGUUCGAAUGGAAAUAAAACUAUUGUUUGCCUUUGUGGCCACAGCCCAAUACAAAUGUCAAUUACCACACUGCUGGAAACAUUAAGUAUGUCAGUUUGUGUAGCAUACAUAUACAGUUAUGUUUCAGAGCACACUGAAGAUACGCAAUAAGACUGAAAUCUUUUGCAAAGUUAUAGCUACCAUAAAAUGACUGUUUCCUGAACAAUAGUUUAUACUGCUAAAAUCGUUUGCAGUUCUUAAUACAAAGUAGACACAUAAGUAGCUGUAAUAAAAUCUGUAUUUUAAAAAUAAAAUAAAAUUAAAGGGUGCUUUUUUAAAAAGUCAUUUGCUUGACUAUUCCAGAUGAGCAAAUACUGUUUUAGUAUUUGUGUUCCUUUCCCUCAUUAUAUAACAAUUUAUAUAGACAACUAAAUGCCAUUCUUUCAGCAUUAGAACUGCUUUUCCUAGCAGUGUAAUGGCUAUCAGAUACUAUAGUUUGUCUUUAACCUCUUCAAAAUACUCUUAAAGUUUCUGCUUUCGGUGCACAGGAAUCUGAAUGACACUGGAUUAACCACUUAAAACCACAAAGGGAUACCUGAGGCCUAUCUGAAAAGUCUGUUAUAUGCCCAAUAAUAACAUUCUGAUAUCUCCAGCUUUUCUAAACCUUAACCUGGAUGCUCCAUUAGGGUUGUUUAUAGAGCAGACUUAGAAGUCAAUGCAUGUUAUUUAAAAGAUCUCAUGGUUUGAUAAAAUGCUGGGUCUUGACUUGCACAGGUGUCGUAGGCUUCCACAGGUUCUCUAUCUGAGGCUGGCACUUCUGAAUUAUAAUGGAGGCUUACUCCGGAAAGUAAAAAACCACUCCUGACAAAUCUGUUACCACCACUAAAAGGUAAAACUUCAGAACCAGCUGUUUAUGUAAGAAUACAUCAUAUUGUUUCAUAAUUUGAGGAGCAGGGAUUAUUUCUGUAUGUUUCUGCAGUAUUUUUGUAGAAAACCAUUUUUUAUUCCACUCCUAAUUUCCUCAGCUUUAAUUCUAUGAUGCUGUAAUCUCUUCACAAGAAUUCUGUUAUUACAAAUGGAGGAUUUUAUAUUUAGAGGGGAAACAAUCUGCCUGGUCUGAGGUGUUAACAGCCAGAACAAGUUUCUGGUGUAAUACCAAGAGUAUACAGUAUUAAAAACUGAGGUACGAUGGAAGAACUCCUAUUUCUGUGAAGUUAGUGGGAACUUGACCUUAAACAAGGAUCAAGAUUGCAUCACAUUGAAAUGCUAUAAAACAUAUAGCGACAUGAAAUAUUCUCCUCACAUAUGUUCUUUUUCCAUUGUGGCACCGGUCACUAAAGUUGCUGUUGUAAGUGCAUGUAUAAUAUGUCAGUGACACAUACUAUUUUACUAUUUGUUUUGCUGAAAAUGGAAGAAAUCCAGAGUACCUUGUUUUGAUCUAGUUGCCUUCUGGUUUAACGCUCAUUGAGAAUGACUAUCAUUUGCUUCAGAACAGACAGAAGUAGAAUCACAUUUCUUAGCUUUACAAGAGAAGGUAACAUGACCCUCCAGGAGCCCUGAGAAAGAAACACUUCCAGUUUCAGCAGCAAACCCAGAAGAGACGGUCACAUUUACCCCUACCUGCCUGUCCUCUGUCUACAUGCUCAGGUCAUUGGCUCUCAGCUGUAGUCGCUCUCUUUUGAACAAAGCGGUAAUAUAAAUAUUCAUCCCGAAAUUCAAAUUCAUUUGCAAUGUGCUGGAUGACACCUCCUUUCAUCAGUCUGUCUCCGUACAUCACAGCUUCACCACGGUCAGAGGCGAGGCCAACUUGGAUGAGCCAGUUCACCAGGUCACAGCCAAAGAAGAUGCCAGUGGAGAUCUUUGCACCACACCUGGAACACAGCUGCCAAAGAACAUUCUGGAACGUGGUUUCAGAUUAUCUGACUAUAGACAAGAAAAUCCCCCUGCAGAACUAGUAGAGAGCUUCCAUGACAAGAGAAGUAAAAGUGUCCUGUUAAAACAACUCUUCAUCUCUCUGCUUUACAUAGUAGAUAUACAAAUGCAGGCAAGUAUCUUUUUCUUACUCCUGAUGCUUCUGUCUGCAUUUCUUUUCUCAUCCACCUGAACAUAAUGAAAUACAUAACCUUUGACCUAGGUAUCAUAAUUUGGGUUUGCAAGCUUUGGCAAUCUCACAAUUUGGGGUUUAGGCUUCAUGAGAGGAAUCAGCAAAAUAAAUUGUAUGAACUCAAAAAGUGUAAAGUCCUAAAGAUGUUCUGCUCUCACUGUUGUAAUAGUUUUGUCUCCCGCAAUAGCUAUUAGUAACAUUUUCUACCAUAAAUACCAACACCUUAUUAAUUAGAAGACAAAAAUGAAGCAUCACACAGGCUAUCACAGGCAUUGACACAUACACUUCUUCAGAAAGAUUUUGUUCCUAAACUUCUGCUAAAUACAAGAACUGGGGACAGGUCUUAAUAAGGUGCUACAAAACCAUCAAACCUAGAUGAGAUAACAUGAUAAUUUGUACCUCAGUGUUUUAGUCUUAUACAAGAAUAUUUUCUACAUGUUACUGCAAAAUACUUAAUCUUCACUUGAAUGUUUGAGUAAAUACAUGAGAACAGAUAUGAGAACACGCACAGAAUGACUAUAUUGCAUUUCAUUAUUUUCAAAAAGUGAGCUAUGAGCUUUGUUAACAGGUUAAAUGUGAAGGGGGAAGACCUUACCUUCUGCCUUUGACGAUGCUUUUGACACAGUGAUCUCUGUGAUAACGAACAAACUGUUGGCAGGUCAUCCUGAUUUCCUCAGGUAGAGUGGGAUCUGCAUGCCCUUCUGCUUCUCUCCCUCCCCAGAGGAAUUCAAGCCUGGGGUGGAGGGGUGGGAACAACAAUAAAAAAAUUAAAAAAUAAUAAUAAUUUAAAAAAAAAAUCAAACAAAAGACUUUUAAGGAAACUGGAAAUAAGAAUGGAACUCACAGGAAACUUAUCACAGCUUCUUACUGUUUUUCUGCAAAUGUUUUUAAUAUAAUCUUCCUAAUAUUCUUGUAUGCCCUUUGAACACUGAGAAGUUUUACUCUGGGCUAAGGCAGAAGGAAGGACAGAGAGUAGCUGGGAGCCAGCCCUAGCUGCUGGAUUCACAACACAGCCAGCUAGCUCUAAUUUAAAGAUGGCUUUGUACAACUUACUUUUCCAAAGUGAGGUACCAAUGAAAGUCUCCAUCCACACAAAGAACUUGCAUGAGCUAAUUAAUAGAGGACUUUAAAACAGCGCUGAAGGCAUCU
rnacentral:lncRNA from 1 species